UACGUAGGGGGCUAGCGUUGUCCGGAAUCAUUGGGCGUAAAGAGCGUGUAGGCGGCCCGGUAAGUCCGCUGUGAAAGUCGGGGGCUCAACCCUCGAAAGCCGGCGGAUACUGUCGGGCUAGAGUGCGGAAGAGGCGAGUGGAAUUCCUGGUGUAGCGGUGAAAUGCGCAGAUAUCAGGAGGAACACCAAUGGCGAAGGCAGCACUCUGGGACGUGACUGACGCUGAGACGCGAAAGCGUGGGGAGCAAACAGG
rnacentral:rRNA from 1 species